UGCUCAGCCAACCGUUUCCUACUGAGGGCUCUCUGUGUAACGUGGUCUAUGAAGAGUUCACUGUUAGCCUUAAACAGAUUGAAAUGAUCCAUGGGGGGAAAUCACACCAAACCCGAUGGCUGUCUGGAAGUGAUGUUCAGCGCCAGGCCCCUGAGCUGCUGCGGAAAGGCGGGCUGUGAAGGCAUCGGGGGCAUCUCAGAGAUCAUCUCAAGUAAUGGGGCCUGACUUCUGUGAUGAGUGAAAGAAUCCAGAACAGACUGAGGGCCUGAUCCUGCAAAGACCUUUGACUCCCUUACAAGGAGUGAAAAUUGCACAGCCUGAAGAUUAAGUUAUUGAAUUGGAUGCCCAUCCCAGGAUGAUGGUUGGCCGGGGCAUGAGGAAGUAAAAAGCAUAGGGCUUUGAGGAAAUCCAGAAUAGGGACUGUUUGAUGCCACAUCAUGGUGAACAUCCCCAGAUUAGACAGGAAUCUAAGGCUGAGGCAAUGGAUACUUCUGUUAUUGAUGGGCAGUCUUGUCUGUGAGUGGAAACUCCUGAGAAUCUUGCCUCUGGGCUUCAUCAUAGCUUCAUUAACUGUGGUGAGCUCUCUAGCCAACGUGUGACAAAUGUUACUGAGCAUGUAUUAUUUAUAAAGAACUGUCCUGGGUACAAGAGGUAUAAGGAAGGAUAGGCACAGUAUUGCUAGCCAGAAGUUCACGACGUGGUUAGGGAGAUACACCAUAUUCUUGUGAAAAGAUGAUAAGUCAGGAGCAACAGGGCAUGUAUAAGCCACAAACAGUAAGGGAAUGCUCUAGAAGUGCCCAGGCAGGAGUGAGAGCUGGUGGGUCAGGGAAGACUUGAGGAGAAGGAUAGGACUGGAGCUGGCCCUUGAAGGGUGGAGAAUUUCAGAGAUUGGAAAUGCCAAAGAGAGAUUAUUCCAGGUGGAGGCAUGCCAU